UCCUCGUUUAAGCGAGGCAGUCUGUCCAGAGUGCUCCAGCCUCUCGGCCGGGUGGCAACAGGACAUAAGGGUUGCGCUCGUUGCGGGACUUAACCCAACAUCUCACGACACGAGCUGACGACAGCCAUGCAGCACCUGUGCAUGCUGGUAUUGCUACCUCGUCCCCCUUUCAGGGUUCUACUACAUGCAUGUCAAGGCCAGGUAAGGUUCUUCGCGUUGCAUCGAAUUAAGCCACAUACUCCACCGCUUGUGCAGGCCCCCGUCAAUUUCUUUGAGUUUUAAUCUUGCGACCGUACUCCCCAGGCGGCGCAUUUAUCGCGUUAGCUUCGCCACGAGCGGGGUCGAAUCCGCUCACAGCAAAUGCGCACCGUUUAAGGCCGGGACUAC
rnacentral:misc_RNA from 1 species